GAAAAAAAAGGUCUUUGCCCGUGGGCGCGGCAGCAGAGGUCGGCCGGCCGUGAAUGUGCCUGCCACCACCAGUCCACCACGGGGAGAAGACUAGCGAGGGAGCGCUUUCAACCGGCGGUCGUCUGUCACGCUGCCGCUGGCCUGCACUGCACUGCAUGCCUGCGCCGCCCAGCCUUUCUGACCGCCCCUUGCUAGCUGCUGUUGCCGCUGCAUGUGCGUCUCGCCAGUGCUGCACGCCCGCAGCGCACAGGCAGGAGCAUCAGGAGACAACGCAGCCAGAGACGUCGCUGGCCCCGGAUGCUGCUGCUCGCUUCCGUCCCAGCGUUUAGAUGCAUGCCUUGUGCUGGACUGCUGGCGAUGAUGGGGGAAGGAGAACAGAAGAUUAGUACGAUUACGUGCCCACCUUCACGUGUGCGUUAACCGGGCACACGUGUACGGUGUUACCGACGAUCCUGACCAUCCAUGCGAUUACGCAAGCGAAGCAGCAGCUGCUCGAUCUUUUUGACCGUUGAUGACGGUCCCAGCUGCUAUGAGCUGCUCCACGGAUUAACCGGCUGUAGCACAAUGGUGGUGGAUACACGGUCCCUGCUCCUGAGUCGCCGGCAAGAGCCAGCCGGUCCGAUGCACUGCAACGGGGAAGGCCUUCAACUCUUCAUCAUGAUUCAUGACAGGGUCGCCUGGCCUCCUCCCCUCCAGCCAGGUCAGGCCGGCCGAUCGAUCUGAGCGUGGCAAUUAUUGUGAGGGGCACGCACUGUUCCGCCCCUGCACUCCGCACGCUGGCCGGUCUGUGUGCGCUCCUCUUCAAAGCUUCAACCCCACCGCCCAACUCUAGCUCGAUCCGUAGCGGGUGUCUGUUAAAUUUGCUAAUCGAUCGCCCGACCGAUUCAGCCGUCGUACGUAGAUAGCACAGGCACAGCGUCAGCGUGAUCCCCCUUCGAUAUUUUUCCCUUUUAAAAAUGGAGUUUUAGUGGCACACUGCAUCGACGCAGAAAUAUCAGCUAGUACGUCUGAUAUGGCUGCAGUGGGCGUGACAAAGCGCUGCACGUACACACUUGCUCCCUGCACGGUGCAUGCAGGGAAGGAGAAGGGAUAGAGGGAGAGGAGCUGGAGAGGCACGAGAACGGGUACAUGACUGGAGAAUGGCGGGCGGGUCAGCGAAGCCAAACAAGCCACCUUCGCUCUCCAGCUGACCAGACUGACAUAACGGAACCUGUUUGCUGCUUGCGUCGGGGACAGACACGACAUGUGCGACCACUGAUCGGUCAUCAGUCCGUGCUCUGGCGCUGACGAGGAUAAUGGCACUUCGUUGAGGCUCUUGCUUGUGGGAGGAGAUUGGGAAGAAGAGCAAACAGCAAAGUGUAGGGCUGGAGGCGAGCAGAGCUACCUUGGAUUUGAUCGUGUGGUUUGCGAUCUUCUGACGGGGGGAAAUGGCUUUCUUUUCUUCUUCCGGAAGAGCAGAGAGUAGUGGCUGCUUUUGGCGCCAUCAUGUAUCGAGCCAUGCAUGCUCGAAUCAUGCACGCCGUUUUAAAAAACAACGGCAGACGCAUAUGCAUACGCGUUCUCUCGUCAAGUCAAUUUCUCAUAGCGCGUUGCCGGUUUGUUCGCGUUGAGAUUUCCUUUUUCAGAUUUACCAGAGAGCUUUACUUAUAAAUAAUGUUGCAAAUGAAUUUAUGUUUAUGUACAUUCAUUGAAGUAGAGGCUGACGAUGGGCAAUGUUGUCUGGCGGGUUGAACGGGGAUUGCCAUCUUGUUCUGGAUCCAGAUUGAGAUUGGCUUAAA